rnacentral:lncRNA from 1 species
ACUUCAGGGAGCUCCACCAUAUUCCACCCUCUUUCCCACUGCUCCUCCUUGGGCGCUCUGCCGACUUCACUGACCUUUAUCAAUUUCCUCUCUUCUCCAGACGCUUUGGAUUGCUCAACAGUGUUGUGGACACUGGAGUCAACCUUGCGAGAAGUGUGGUGUCCUCUGUAGUGCAGGAUGAGCUGUGCCCACGAUUCCGCGAGCUCCUUGAAAGCCUGGAUGCAGAGUGUGUUAAGAAACUCAUCGGUGAACCUCAGGACACCCAGGAUGAAACUGGAGACGGCAGAUGAGGAAACCACUGGGAUGCCCGCCUGCUGACUCCAGGACUUAAGUGAAUCUCUGUACCGUCUCCCUCUGGAACAGUCAGUGCUGCCACCAUCCCCCAGGAGUGACAACUGAGCCCAGUCAAAGGACACCUCUCAGACCCUCGUGCUCACAGUCAGGACAUCCUGUGCUUAUCACCCUCCACCCCCAGCAAUAAAAAGCCCUUUCA